GACGAACGCUGGCGGCGUGGAUUAGGCAUGCAAGUCGGACGGUAGGGCUUUAUCGUAAGAUAGAGUUUGAGAGUGGCGAACGGGUGAGUAACACGUAGGAAUCUACCCUUAAGACGGGGACAACCCAGGGAAACUUGGGCUAAUACCGGAUGAGAGUGCGAGAGAUUGCAUUUAAAAGGAUGGCGAAAGUUGUCGCUUAGGGAUGAGCCUGCGGUCUAUUAGUUAGUUGGUGAGGUAAGAGCUCACCAAGGCGAUGAUAGAUAGGCGGCCUUAACGGGUGGUCGCCCACACUGGGAUUGAGAUACGGCCCAGACUCCUACGGGAGGCAGCAGUCGAGAAUAGUCUACAAUGGCCGGAAGGCUGAUAGUGCGACGCCGCGUGAACGAGGGAGCCCUUCGGGUGUAAAGUUCUUUUCUAUACGAGCAGUGCUAUAUAUAUGGAUAGUAUAUAUAGAGGGAUAGUAGUAUAGGAAUAAGCAACGGCGUAACUCCGUGCCAGC
rnacentral:rRNA from 1 species